rnacentral:lncRNA from 1 species
ACCCUAUCAGUUACCACUUUUGCACCUUUCACAGAUGAGUAAACACUUCUAAACGUUUCUUGCAAUAGGUAAUCAUUGACAUCAGCAGCCAAAUCUCCCACAAAUAUUGUAUAAUCGGGGCCAUCAUCUUGACGCCUCUCACCAGCUGAGAGAGUAGCCCAAUUUAGCCUGAAAUUCUGUUCUGUAUUUGGCAUUAAUGUACCAUUAUAUGUCUGCAAGAUCCUCUCUGCUGCUGCACGAGAAACAAACUCAAUGAAACCAUAACCCUCUGGGAGGCCAGUCUGCUUAUUCCUAAUAACCUUAGCUGAAACAACCUGCAUCAUAACAAGAAUAUAAGUAGCAACAUGAAAAUCUAAUUGCAUUCAAACUAACACCAACGCAUUUCAAUUGUAGAUUUCUCUUGUUUAGGAGUUAUCAAGCGCAAAGUAGGUAUCUUGUUUAACAUUCAGGCUUUUUCAUAAGCAAUACAAAGAAGAAAAGGGCCCUACAUCAACAGAAUCUUACAUGCAACAAAUUAGAUCAUAUCCGAAAUUAUUAAUUUUCAUGCAAAACUUCUUUUCUUUUUUGUCUUUACCAAUAAUUUACUCCAAAUCUCUUGCAGAGGUAUGUGAAUCGCAAACUACAAGAAAAGAAUUGAAAUGAAUUUUUGUAAAAUCAUGCAAGAUUUCAUCUUCUUAAUUGUUAGAAAAGAAAACAAAUAAAUUGAAUUCUUGCAAAAUUUUUAUUCCAAAAGGAGGGUGUAUAUAUGGAAAAAAAACUCUUAACGCAACAAUUUGAAUCCAAACAAAUAAACUCAGUUCGCUUCUAUCAAUCCUUAGCAUGAAGAACGAAUACAAACAUUUCUUUUUAGAUGGACAUAAAUAUUGAAAGAAGGCAAAAGUAUAGCAUGUAAAGUAUGCAAGUUACCUCCCCGGUGUUGGCGAAGAUGCUGAAGAGAUAAUUUUCGUCCAUCCACUGCUGCAAGUCUCCGAUCCACAACGACUUGAUCUCGGCCGAAUCUGCACCGGCACCACCCUGCGCAACUGCCUGAGGAACAGCAUACUGAGCCGGGGGAGGGACAGGCGGUGGGGUCCAACCAGAAGGCGGUGGAACAGGCUGCUGUUGCUGCUGCAUCAUCAUCCACUGCUGUGGCGGUGGCUGCUGUUGGUACUGCUGAUCGGUGGCCAUCUGCUGAGGGACAACUCCGGCUCCCGGCUGUUGCAUCAUAUUUAAGGUUAAUCGGAGUUAAGGAGGGCCGGAUCUG